rnacentral:lncRNA from 10 species
GGGAGACAUCAAAGCGGUAAACAACACACAGAACAGUGUUACUUGAGCAAUUUGCUUAAGAAACCACUUUUUAUCUUCUCGGAGAGCGAGAUGCAUAAAUUGUCUGCAGUUGUCUUUGGGGAGAGUUGACGAGGUCCGCAGGGGAGGAGUUACUGCUAUGGCCAAAGCCAAAGCUGGAGAGAUUCCAAUCACAGCAGCACUGAGCAUAGACAUUCUCCUUUUAAAUGCAAACAGCUUUGAGAAGAGUAACUCAGGCCCGAAAAGAGAGC